CGCCUGUUUAACAAAAACAUGUCCUUUUGAAUAUAUUUAAGGUCUAACCUGCCCAAUGAGGAUUUAAAUGGCCGCAGUAUUUUGACUGUGCAAAGGUAGCAUAAUUAUUAGUUUUUUAAUUGAAAGCUUGUAUGAAGGGUUGGACGAGAUAAAAUCUGUCUUUAUUUAAAUUAUAGUAGAAUUUAACUUUUAAGUCAAAAGGCUUAAAUUUAUGUAAAAGACGAGAAGACCCUAUAGAUCUUUAUUUAAUAAAAAUUUUGAUAAUUUAGGAUUAAUUUAGUUCAAAGUUUUUAUUGAAUUUUAUUGGGGUAAUAUAAAGAUUAAAAAAAUUCUUUUUAUUUAUAACAUUAAUUUAUGAAUAUAUGAUCCAAUAUUAUUGAUUAUAAGAUUAAGUUACCUUAGGGAUAACAGCGUAAUUUUUUUGGAGAGCUCAUAUCGAUAAAAAAGUUUGCGA
rnacentral:rRNA from 1 species